rnacentral:rRNA from 1 species
UCGAGUUGUUUGGGAAUGCAGCUCAAAGUGGGUGGUAAACUCCAUCUAAAGCUAAAUACUGGUGAGAGACCGAUAGCGAACAAGUACUGUGAAGGAAAGGUGAAAAGAACUUUGAAAAGAGAGUGAAAUAGUAUGUGAAA